UACGAAGGGGGCGAGCGUUGUUCGGAUUUACUGGGCGUAAAGGGCGCGCAGGCGGCUUUGUUUGUCAGGCGUGAAAGCCCCGGGCUUAACCUGGGAACUGCGUUUGAUACGGCAGGGCUAGAGUUCGGGAGAGGAGAGUGGAAUUCCCAGUGUAGAGGUGAAAUUCGUAGAUAUUGGGAAGAACACCGGUGGCGAAGGCGGCUCUCUGGACCGAUACUGACGCUGAGGCACGAAAGCCAGGGGAGCAAACGGG
rnacentral:rRNA from 1 species